GAUUGUUUCACGUGUAAUGAAAAGCUAGGGUCCAGAAGAUCACUGCGGCCAGAUGCCAAUUUUGCUGCCCUCGUCAGUAAGACUUGUCCAAGCCCUGAUGUAUGUGAAGCUCAUCAGGAGGGAAUGCUAGCAAGAAUCAGCUAACACAAUAGCAGCAAGCUUUCAAUGACAGCGUUAAGGAAGGGUGACGAUUCACCCUAACAAUUGUUUCUGAUCCCACCCUCUAAUCAAUUUCCCACCCCCCAGCUCCCACCCCGCAAUCAAUUUCUCACCACCCACCCUCCUCCCCCCCCCGCUCCCUCCCACCAAUAGUUCCCUCCUUCUGCAAAAAACCUCCCAGCCCCCCAGCUUCCCACCCCAACAAUUCCUUCCUCCAAAUUCCAACAACUUGGGAGUGUAACGUGAUCAGAGUACAAUUUCUCCCCCAGAAUUGCCACCCCACAGAAUUCCCUCCCCCUCCCCCCAUGCUCAAUGCCAGCAGUUACGGAGUCCAAUCAUUUUUGAUGCCAACCAUCUCCCACAACAGCCAUUUCUCACCCCAGCAGUUCCCCACCCCCCAAAUUCCCUCCCCAACAAUAUUACAGUACAGCCAUUUCAUUUCCAACCUCAAAAAGAUCCCAGUGCCCCAAGAAUUCCCAACCGAAGAAUUCCCACCCCAAAUUCCCUCCCCCCACCCCGGGUUCCCACCCCAACAAUAUCACAGUACGGCCAUUUCAUUUCCAACCCCAAAGAGAUCCCAGCACCCCAAGAAUUCCCCCCCCAAGUUCCCACCCGAAAUUCCCUCCCCCCACCCCGCAACCAUCCCCUCCCCGCCCUCUUCCCACCCCCCAGCCAACAUUUCCCAGCCCAAAGCUUUGACAGUCCAAGCCUUUGGCGGUCCAUCAGCUUCAGAUCCCGCAUUGCCCCAGCCCAAGAUGCCGUUUGUGGACAGCCCAGUUUUGGAGGGGUAGGGCUGGGGCCGGUGCUGGUGCCUCCGGAACACUGCCGCUGCUCUCUGGGCAUGGUGGGGGCCAGCGAGGAGCCCAGGGCUCCAGGGAGCCGUCUUGGUCGGCUAUGGCCACGUCUCCUGCUCCAGCAAGUGGG
rnacentral:lncRNA from 1 species